rnacentral:lncRNA from 1 species
CAAAGCUGGAGAUUUCACGGUGGGUGCUGGAGCUGGUACCUGAGCUGGCGGAGACGCAAGAGGGGCCGGUGGUGGUGUUGCUGGUGGUGGAGUGGCGGGUGGCGGAGUGGCUGGUGGUGGUGUGGCCGGUGGUGGAGUAGCGGGUGGAGGAGUAGCUGGAGGUGGAGUUGCGGGUGGAGGAGCGUUGACUGGAGGUGGGGUGGCCGGCGGGGGAGCUGAGACAGGGGGAGGAGUUGAUGGAGGCGGAGACGUGGUAACUGGGGGCGGUGCUGUGGCAACGGGAGGAGGAGCUGACGUGGGAGGAGGGGUGGAUGCGGGAGGUGGAGUGCUGGCGGGGGGAGAGGGUGGUGGCUGGUUGUUGGAUGGUGGAGUUGUGGGUGUGGCAGGGGGAGCAGGAGUGCUAGUGGUGGGUGGGUUGGCGGGGGGA